AGUGAACGCUGGCGGUAGGCCUAACACAUGCAAGUCGAACGGCAGCACAGUAAGAGCUUGCUCUUACGGGUGGCGAGUGGCGGACGGGUGAGGAAUACAUCGGAAUCUACUUUUUCGUGGGGGAUAACGUAGGGAAACUUACGCUAAUACCGCAUACGACCUACGGGUGAAAGCAGGGGAUCUUCUGACCUUGCGCGAUUGAAUGAGCCGAUGUCGGAUUAGCUAGUUGGCGGGGUAAAGGCCCACCAAGGCGACGAUCCGUAGCUGGUCUGAGAGGAUGAUCAGCCACACUGGAACUGAGACACGGUCCAGACUCCUACGGGAGGCAGCAGUGGGGAAUAUUGGACAAUGGGCGCAAGCCUGAUCCAGCCAUACCGCGUGGGUGAAGAAGGCCUUCGGGUUGUAAAGCCCUUUUGUUGGGAAAGAAAAGCAGCAGGUUAAUACCCCGCUGUUCUGGCGGUACCCAAAGAAUAAGCACCGGCUAACUUCGUG
rnacentral:rRNA from 1 species